rnacentral:lncRNA from 13 species
AGAUCAGAGAAGCAUCAUCCACAAGUGCAUCUGAGAGGACCUGCCCUUGAAGAGGGGCCAUGAGGGAGUUUGGCGAAAGGUCUGCGGGAAGCUGUUUCCUUUGUGCUGUUCUGGGUGUCUGGCUCCCGGUCAGCUGGGCUGAGCGUGCAGAGAAUGAGCUGGACACACAGCAGAGGACAGCGAGGACCCACUGAGCCCCACCAGGCAUUUCUAGGGGAACUGCUGAGCCCAAAUAGGAAAGCUGGCAUGGAGGCUAGGACCACUACAAGGAGCCGGGGGAGAGGUGAGAACAUGGGGCAGGGUGCAGUAAAGCAGGGUGGCACCCAGAGAUAGGCUGGGUCUGGAGAGCAGCACCAAGCCACCGGCAUGUGCCUCAGGGUACCUUGGAUGCGCUGGGCACCUUGAGGGCUGCUGGGGAAGGAGACGGCUUGAAGCCAACGGCCUGUGGCUGAGCAAGUAGUUUCUAUUGGGAGACAAAUGAAAGUUCUUCUGGGGCUGUGGCUACAAAAGGUUCCCCUCAGAACAGCAGGUCCCUCAGCAUCCCACUCCUGUACUCCCGACUUCGUGCCCUUGGGUUCCACAACUGAACGAUGGACACUUACUUCCCAACUCGCUGUGAAGACUGACUGAUGUGCAGGUAGGUUGCCUUGGUGGUGACUGUGAUGAUCGUGCCUGUUAUGUUUUAGUUAAAGAGAAAAGCUCAGGGACUUUCCCAAGACACACAGCUGGCCACCGAAGAGCUGGAACUCAAACGCAUGUGUCCUGACUCAAAGCCCAGUGCUCCACCAGGUAAAACAUGUUAGCAAUUGCUGUGUUCUGUCUGGCGUAUCCUAAAACAGUAUCAUCUCCCCAUUUAUAGAGUAUGAGGUUGGAGGUGGUUUUCCUCUGCUGCAGUCUUGCUCACCUUUUCCUCCCGAUUCCCAUUGCAAAAUAGUCAAUUAGCAUUCCUGCGAGUGAAAGAAAGCCGACCUUGGGCUGAGCUGAUUGUCCUGAGUAAUCCCUCAAGCCCAGGCCAGUAGCCAAGGCUGGUGGGGCCUGAGUCCUCGCCUCUUGGGCUGAGGGACCCUAAGCAGGGAGCAUCAAGGGCCAGUGUCCUGGUGUUAGUGAUAGAUAGAAAUGGCAAGACUCUGAAGAGGGAGCGGAGAGAAGGUUCCAUGGCACAAGAGGCAAAUGGCAGCCGUUUCAUGGAUGAUAUAGAAAGAGCUGGUUCGACUGUGAACUGGGUGGUUCGGAGCCCCCUGGCCACCCUCUCUCCUUACCGUUGUGGUUUCUCUACAGCCGUCCUCUUCUUCCCUGUCUGGGUCUCACCCUGCUAACCCCACUGACAACUUGA